rnacentral:misc_RNA from 1 species
UCUCCGUUGGUGAACCAGCGGAGGGAUCAUUACCAGAGUUUUACAACUCCCAACCCUUCUCAGAACCUACCUCUCGUUGCUUCGGCGGACUCGCCCCAGCGUCCGGACGGCCCCGCGCCCGCCCGCGGCCUCGACCCAGGCGGCCGCCGGAGACCUCACAAGCGUGUAUCAAUCUGUCUCACAGACUCCGCAACAAGGUAAAACAAACGAAUCAAAACUUUCAACAAUGGAUCUCUUGGUUCUG